rnacentral:lncRNA from 1 species
CUGGGUUCCAGAACUUGGUCUGCUGUCAGGGCUUGGCUGAAUUCUAGAGCUGGCCUCAAUCGCAGAAAUGGCCUGAAUUCUAGAAGAGGACUUGGUCUUGGAAAUGAGCUGAGUUCUAAAGACAGGCUUGGUCUCAGAGCUGGCCUGAGUUCUAGAACAGGGCUUUGUCUCAGAGCUGAGCUGGGUUCCAGAGUGGAGUAUGGUCUCGGUGCUGGUCUGAGCUCUAGAAGAGGAUUUUGUUUCAGAGCUGAGCUGGGUUCUGGAGCUAGACUUGGUCUCAGAACUGUCCUGAUGUCUAGAGCAAGAUUUGAUGUCAGAGCUGAGCUGGGUUGAAGAGUCAGUCUUGGUCUCGGAGCUGGCCUGAGUUCUAGAACGGGGCUUGAUCUCAGAAAUGAGCUGGGUUCUGGAGUCAGGCUUGGCCUCGGAGCUGAGUUCGGUCUCUGAGUCUGGUUGGUAUCUAGGGGUGGGUUCUAGCUCAGAGCUGGCCUGUGUUCUAGAGCAAGAUUUGGUUUCAGAGCUGGGCUGGGUUCCAGAGUGGAGUUUGGUCUCGCUGCUGGUCUGAGCUCUAGGAGAGGAUUUUGUUUCAGAGCUGAGCUGGGUUCUGGAGCUAGACUUGGUCUCAGAACUGUCCUGAUGUCUAGAGCAAGAUUUGGUGUCAGAGCUGAGCUGGGUUGAAGAGUCAGGCUUGGUCUCGGAGCUGGCCUGAGUUCUAGAACAGGGCUUGAUCUCAGAGCUGAGCUGGAUUAAAGAGUCAGGCUUGGUCUCAGAGCUGAGUUUGGUCUCCGAGCCUGGCUGGUAUCUAGAGGUGGAUUCUAGCUCAGAGCUGGCCUGUGUUCUAGAGCAAGACUUGGUGUCAGAGCUGAGCUGGGUUCUGGAGUCAGGCUUAGUCUCAGUGCUGUUCUGAGUCCUAGAACAGGACUUGAUCUCAGAGCUGAGCUGGGUUCUGGAGCCAGGCUUGGUCUCAGAGCUGCAUUUGGUCUCUGAUCCUGGCUGGUAUCUAGAGGUGGGUUCUAGCUCAGAGCUGGCCUGGGUUCUAGAGCAAGACUUGGUGUCAGAGCUGAGCUGGGUUCUGGAGUCAGGCUUAGUCUCAGUGCUGCUCUGAGUCCUAGAACAGGACUUGAUCUCAGAGCUGAGCUGGGUUCUGGAGCCAGGCUUGGUCUCAGAGCUGCAUUUGGUCUCUGAGCCUGGCU